CUAAUACGUAUCAACUGUGACGUUACUCGCAGAAGAAGCACCGGCUAACUCCGUGCCAGCAGCCGCGGUAAUACGGAGGGUGCAAGCGUUAAUCGGAAUUACUGGGCGUAAAGCGCACGCAGGCGGUUGGAUAAGUUAGAUGUGAAAGCCCCGGGCUCAACCUGGGAAUUGCAUUUAAAACUGUCCAGCUAGAGUCUUGUAGAGGGGGGUAGAAUUCCAGGUGUAGCGGUGAAAUGCGUAGAGAUCUGGAGGAAUACCGGUGGCGAAGGCGGCCCCCUGG
rnacentral:rRNA from 1 species